CAGAGCCCAGCCCAGAGCACCGAGCACGGCACAGCCCAGGGAGGGGAUGGGCCCGCUGGGCCCGGCCUCGGGGCCGCCUCUCCUGGGCCUGCUGGGCCCUGCAGCUGGGGAGGGAUGGGAAGGUCCUUCCGUGCAUUCUGAGGAGGGAAGCAGAGCUGGAACCUCCUGGGAGGAGCAGCUGAAGUCUUUGGGCUUGUCCACUUUGGACAAAGGGAGGCUGAGAAAAGAGCAUAGAAUCACACUUAUCUUUCUCUUGGGAGACUUGUAAUGCAGAGAAAGGAUGAAACAACAGGCAUCACUACAGUGUCACACAAACUUUUUCAAGGAACAGAAGAAUAACAGAAUUAACAGUAACAAUACUGACACAAUACGCCAGUGUCAAUCUGCAUUAGCCAAAGAUACUAUUGGAGAAAGCUGAGGAAGUAGAAUUUUAGAAUGAAGAGGGAUUUAAUCUCAGAUGAGUUUUUCAUAAAAUACUGAAGUUGCAAAUUGACUAGUCAGUUGUUUUUCUUUAAGACAAAAAACCAGAAGUUGAGUACUUCAUACAAAGUAAACGAUUGCCAUUAUGAUGACUAUGAAUAUAACUAUAUUACUGGACGAUAUAUUGUCCAGUUGGCUUUGUUUCUUUGAAGUACAGACACAUGCUCAUUGCCUACAUUCAAAGAGAAAUUUGGAAACUGCUCCUGUAAUGCUGCAAUGACUUCAAUUUGUUUUAAGCACAAAUAAGGAGAGAAAUGCUGAAAAGUUAAUGAGGCAAUAUAACAAGUAUUUCAGCAUUUUGACUGUUGGAUUACAGUAUACUGGAAUUCUAGACAUUUACAAGAGAAAGAAAAUCUAAAUUAUUUUUAAGCAAACUAGAACUAAAGCAGAUGUUAUUCGAUGGUUUUAUAUAUGUAUCACCAGCCAAAAGAAACAGUCAUCUGACAAGAACAGCUUUAGGCAAAACAGCAUUAAGCCCAGUUAUUUGGCAAUAUACUUUACAAGAAAUAAGUAAAUCAAUUUUAUCAUCAGUCUGAGCUUUAGAUUUUAUCAUUGCUUUUUAGGCUUAAACUAUUUAAAAAACUGACCUGAAUUUAAAUACUCUAGGUAAAGGGAAGCAUUGUAUCAAAGUUUGUGACAAUACAAGGGCAAGGUGGUUAAAACGCAACCAACUGUGGUUGAAGUACUUCAGAACAAUCAAUGAACUCUUCUUCAUUUGCAUUUUGAACUACCAUUAAAAAUAUACACUUUUUUUGCUUAUUAGUCUUACACUCACAGCAUGCAAGUAAACCACCUCCAGCCCCUGACCUUACCUUUGUGUUUGUCAUAUCCACAAUGUACUGGUCUCCCUUUAUGCAUUCCAUUACUGGGAAGCCAUCUCUGUCAAGAACUUUUGCCUGAGAAUUACCAGAGACAACAAGAAUGACAUCUCCUGUGCUGCUAUACUGUAAAGACUUGAUUUGG